rnacentral:rRNA from 1 species
GACGUAGGGCGCGAGCGUUGUCCGGAAUUAUUGGGUGUAAAGAGCUCGUAGGCGGUUUGUCGCGUCUGCUGUGAAAACUGGAGGCUCAACCUCCAGCCUGCAGUGGGUACGGGCAGACUAGAGUGCGGUAGGGGAGAUUGGAAUUCCUGGUGUAGCGGUGGAAUGCGCAGAUAUCAGGAGGAACACCGGUGGCGAAGGCGGGUCUCUGGGCAAUAACUGACGCUGAGGAGCGAAAGCGUGGGGAGCGAACAGG